rnacentral:rRNA from 1 species
GACGAACGCUGGCGGCGUGCUUAACACAUGCAAGUCGAACGCUGAAGCUUGGUGCUUGCACUGGGUGGAUGAGUGGCGAACGGGUGAGUAAUACGUGAGUAACCUGCCCUUGACUCUGGGAUAAGCCUGGGAAACUGGGUCUAAUACUGGAUACGACAUGUCACCGCAUGGUGGUGUGUGGAAAGGGUUUUACUGGUUUUGGAUGGGCUCACGGCCUAUCAGCUUGUUGGUGGGGUAAUGGCUCACCAAGGCGACGACGGGUAGCCGGCCUGAGAGGGUGACCGGCCACACUGGGACUGAGAGACGGACCAGACGCCUACGGGAGGCAGCAGUGGGGAAUAUUGCACAAUGGGCGGAAGCCUGAUGCAGAGACGCCGCGUGAGGGAUGACGGCCUUCGGGUUGUAAACCUCUUUCAGCACGGAAGAAGCGAAAGUGACGGUACGUGCAGAAGAAGCGCCUGCUAACUACGUG